CCUACGGGCGGCAGCAGUGAGGAAUAUUGGUCAAUGGGCGCUAGCCUGAACCAGCCAAGUAGCGUGAAGGAUGACUGCCCUAUGGGUUGUAAACUUCUUUUAUAUGGGAAUAAAGUGCAGUACGUAUACUUCUUUCCAUGUACCUUAUGUAUAUGGAUCGGCUAACUCCGUGCCAGCAGCCGCGGUAAUACGGAGGGUCCGAGCGUUAUCCGGUUUUAUUGGGUUUAAAGGGUGCGUAGUCGGGUUGUUAAGUCAGGUGUGAAAGUUUGGGGCUCAACCGUAAAAUUGCAGUUGAUACUGGGAGGCUGGAGUGCAGUAGAGGUAGGCGGAAUUCGUGGUGUAGCGGGGAAAUGCAUAGAUAUCACGAAGAACACCGAUUGCGAAGGCAGCCUGCUGGACUGUAACUGACGCUGAUGCUCGAAAGUGUGGGUAUCAAACAGGAUUAGAUACCCGUGUAGUC
rnacentral:rRNA from 1 species